rnacentral:rRNA from 1 species
UCGGGAAUAUUGCGCAAUGGAGGAAACUCUGACGCAGUGACGCCGCGUAUAGGAAGAAGGUUUUCGGAUUGUAAACUAUUGUCGUUAGGGAAGAGAAAGGACAGUACCUAAGGAGGAAGCUCCGGCUAACUACGUGCCAGCAGCCGCGGUAAUACGUAGGGAGCAAGCGUUAUCCGGAAUUAUUGGGUGUAAAGGGUGCGUAGACGGGAAUACAAGUUAGUUGUGAAAUCCCUCGGCUUAACUGAGGAACUGCAACUAAAACUAUAUUUCUUGAGUGCAGGAGAGGUAAGUGGAAUUCCUAGUGUAGCGGUGAAAUGCGUAGAUAUUAGGAGGAACACCAGUGGCGAAGGCGACUUACUGGACUGUAACUGACGUUGAGGCACGAAAGUGUGGGGAGCAAACA